UAAAACGUAGGAGGCUAGCGUUAUCCGGAUUUACUGGGCGUAAAGCGCGUGCAGGUGGUUUCGUAAGUUGGAUGUGAAAGCUCCUAGCUUAACUGGGAGAGGUCGUUCAAGACUGCGGGACUAGAGAGUGGUAGAGGAAGGUGGAAUUCCGGGUGUAGUGGUGAAAUGCGUAGAUAUCCGGAGGAACACCAGUGGCGAAAGCGGCCUUCUGGACCAUUUCUGACACUCAGACGCGAAAGCUAAGGUAGCAAACGGG
rnacentral:rRNA from 1 species